rnacentral:rRNA from 1 species
GGAAUAUUGGACAAUGGGCGAAAGCCUGAUCCAGCCAUGCCGCGUGUGUGAAGAAGGCUUUCGGGUUGUAAAGCACUUUCAGUGAGGAAGAAGGCCUUGGGGCUAAUACCCCCGAGGAAGGACAUCACUCACAGAAGAAGCACCGGCUAACUCCGUGCCAGCAGCCGCGGUAAUACGGAGGGUGCAAGCGUUAAUCGGAAUUACUGGGCGUAAAGCGCGCGUAGGCGGUUUGUUAAGUCGGAUGUGAAAGCCCCGGGCUCAACCUGGGAACUGCACCCGAUACUGGCCGACUAGAGUACGAGAGAGGGAGGUAGAAUUCCACGUGUAGCGGUGAAAUGCGUAUAUAUGUGGAGGAAUACCGGUGGCGAAGGCGACCUCCUGGCUCGAUACUGACGCUGAGGUGCGAAAGCGUGGGGAGCA